UCCCUGGCGGCUCAGAUGGUAAAGCAUCUGCCUACAAUGCAGGAGACCCGGGUUCGAUCCCUGGGUUGGGAA
rnacentral:tRNA from 1 species